rnacentral:rRNA from 1 species
UACGUAGGGUGCAAGCGUUAAUCGGAAUUACUGGGCGUAAAGCGUGCGCAGGCGGUGAUGUAAGACAGAUGUGAAAUCCCCGGGCUCAACCUGGGAACUGCAUUUGUGACUGCACGGCUGGAGUGCGGCAGAGGGGGAUGGAAUUCCGCGUAUAGCAGUGAAAUGCGUAGAUAUGCGGAGGAACACCGAUGGCGAAGGCAAUCCCCUGGGCCUGCACUGACGCUCAUGCACGAAAGCGUGGGAGCAACAGG